CCAAAGGUGCGGACUCCGGCCACAAAACCUGACUCUAAAGGGGAGCGUCCGGGUUGGCCUUCUUUGCGGCUCUGGUGCGGGACGUGGACCCCGCUCCACCUUAGGCUUGGCCCACUUAGGUGGCGCCGGACAGGCGGGAGACUCUGGCGGGAGGAGACGGAGAGACAGCCUGGUCCUUGGAAGUGGCACAGGAUAGACCGGGACGUGGAGGCGCACUGGAGGUCUCGAACUAAGGGCCUGCACAACCCAUUCUGGCUGGAUUUUAGCCCGGAACGUGCGGGGCGCAGGCACCGGACGCACUGGGCCGCGCAGACACACGGGAGACAGUGCGCAGCGCCGACCCAGGAUGUCCUGGCCCGAGGAGACGCACUGGAGGUCUGGAGAGCAGGGCUGGCACCAUCCGUCCUGGCUUGAUCCUCACCCUAGCCCGGCAGAUGUGGGGAGCUGGGAUGUAGCGCACCAGGCUAAGAACGCGUACUGGAGACACUGUGCGCUCCACCGCAUAACACGGUGCCUGACCAGUACAAUGCCCGCCAUGGUAAGCACGUCUUGGAGAGCUGUAGCGCCGAGCUGCCACAGGACGUGCAGGGCUAGGAAGGCGCACAGGAGGCCUGGUGCGUGGGGCUGGCACAGUCUUCACCAGACGGCUAGCACACACCUCAGGACGAGUAUGGAGAGCUGAUUCAGGUGUCAUCAAAUCCCAGACACGCUCUGUCGGGCAGAUGUCAUGCCUCAUGCACCAACACAGCUUCGCUUCUGUCGCUCACCUCCAAUUUCGCCCUGACCGGCUCUGGUUCAAUCCUUGGCUCCUUACGAUAAGCACUGGAAGUUGGCCCAGGUCUGAAUCUUGACUCUGCCACACUACCAGUGUGCCCUACCAAAAAAUAUUGGGGGCUGCCUCUCGGGCCUCCUUGCCAGCCAUGCCAACUCCUCGUAGUGUUUCCGCUCUGCCUUAGCUGCCUCCAGUUCCUCCUGUGGACGGCUAUACUACCCAGCCUGUGCCCAGGGUCCCUUGCCUUCCAGUAUCUCCUCCCAUGUCCAUUUCUCCAGAUAGCACUGCUGCUCCUCACCACGCUGCUUGGUCCUUUGGUGGUGGGUAGUUCUGUAACGGCCGUUGGUGGAAGAAGGUGAGGACCAAGGUGCAGCGUGAUAAGUGUUCAUCAUUUUCAUGGUAAAACUGAACACUAUCAAACACGCAACAAAAGAACAACCGAAACAGCUCUGUCAGGUGCAAAACACACGAAACAGAAAAUAACUACCCACACCACACAGGUGGGAAAAGGCUACCUAAGUAUGGUUCUCAAUCAGAGACAACGAUAGACAGCUGCCUCUGAUUGAGAACCACACCCGGCCAAACAAACACAGAAAUCCAAAACAUAGAAAAUGACCAUAGAAAGCCCACCCUAGUCACACCCUGGCCUAACCAAAAUAGAGAAUAAAAACCUCUCUAUGGCCAGGGCGUGACAUAUAUGUUGUCACUGUGGCCAAGAGGAGGCGUUCUUGGCUCUCUACAUUUUUUUGGUCGGUGACUGAACCAUUUGAUUUAGAAGUUAGGGCUUGAUUCAAUCCGUAGUGCAGAAGAAAUGUAAAGGCAAUGUUUCCAUGUCAGAGACUGCAUUCAUGGUAAAUGCUGUCUGCUCAAUCGGAAAUUAACUUAACAUUUUUUCAAUUUCUGUGAUUCUCUUAUAAAAUGGGUAUAAGUAUUGUAUAGCAACACCAGGUGUAAAAUAGUAAAUAACGGCUACUUCUCAGAGAGAUUUGAAUUGUCAAGAGGAGGAGUUGGAGGAGUAGAGAGGAGGAGUUGGGAGAUGAUAAUCCCAAAUCAAAUCAAAUCAAAUGUGUUUAUAUAGCUCUUCGUACAUCAGCUGAUAUCUCAAAGUGCUGUACAGAAACCCAGCCUAAAACCCCAAACAGCAAGCAAUGCAGGUGUAGAAGCACAGUGGCUAGGAAAAACUCCCUAGAAAGGCCAAAACCUAGGAAGAAACCUAGAGAGGAACCAGGCUAUGUGGGGUGGCCAGUCCUCUUCUGGCUGUGCCGGGUGGAGAUUAUAACAGAACAUGGCCAAGAUGUUCAAAUGUUCAUAAAUGACCAGCAUGGUCAAAUAAUAAUAAUCACAGGCAGAACAGUUGAAACUGGAGCAGCAGCACGGCGAAGUAAACUGGGGGCAGCAAGGAGUCAUCAUGUCAGGUAGUCCUGAGGCAUGGUCCUAGGGCUCAGGUCCUCAGAGAGAGAGAAAGAAAGAGAGAAAGAGAGAAUUAGAGAACGCACACUUAGAUUCACACAGGACACCGAAUAGGACAGGAGAAGUACUCCAGAUAUAACAAACUGACCCAAGCCCCCGACACAUAAACUACUGCAGCAUAAAUACUGGAGGCUGAGACAGGAGGGGUCAGGAGACACUGUGGCCCCAUCCGAUGACACCCCCGGACAGGGCCAAACAGGAAGGAUAUAACCCCCCCUACUUUGCCAAAG
ensembl:lncRNA